ACUUUCUGUAAUUUUGCUAAAUGGGAGCCUUUUUUUCAAGUUUAAGUCGCCAGUCCUCUACUGAAAGAAAAAAAAUAACCAUUAACUUUAUUGACCCUGUCACCACCGAAAAAGAGGAGUCAGCGUGCCAUGAAUUAUCAGAAAUAAUAAAAUCUUUAAGUUCAACUUUAGAGAAACUUGAAAAUUUUAAAGGAUGUGAAGAUGAAAUUAAAUCUACUAUUACAAAUCCUCAAAAUCCCGACUACCAAAAAGCCGCGUGGGAUGCCCUCUCGUCUAGAGUUUCCCUAUUAAAAGAAUUAUAUGAAUUUACCCG